UACAGAGGUCUCAAGCGUUGUUCGGAUUCAUUGGGCGUAAAGCGUGCGCAGGCGGCCAUCCAAGUCAGUGGUGAAAGCCCGGAGCUCAACUCCGGAACUGCCAUUGAAACUGUUUGGCUCGAGUACGAGAGAGGUGAGUGGAAUUCCCAGUGUAGAGGUGAAAUUCGUAGAUAUUGGGAAGAACACCGGUGGCGAAGGCGGCUCACUGGCUCGUAACUGACGCUCAUGCACGACAGCGUGGGGAUCAAACAGG
rnacentral:rRNA from 1 species